UCAUCUUCGGGGGUAGAGCACUGUUUCGGCUAGGGGGUCAUCCCGACUUACCAACCCGAUGCAAACUGCGAAUACCGAAGAAUGUUAUCACGGGAGACACACGGCGGGUGCUAACGUCCGUCGUGAAGAGGGAAACAACCCAGACCGCCAGCUAAGGUCCCAAAGUCAUGGUUAAGUGGGAAACGAUGUGGGAAGGCACAGACAGCCAGGAUGUUGGCUUAGAAGCAGCCAUCAUUUAAAGAAAGCGUAAUAGCUCACUGGUCGAGUCGGCCUGCGCGGAAGAUGUAACGGGGCUAAACCAUGCACCGAAGCUGCGGCAGCGACACUAUGUGUUGUUGGGUAGGGGAGCGUUCUGUAAGCCGUUGAAGGUGGCCUGUGAGGGUUGCUGGAGGUAUCAGAAGUGCGAAUGCUGACAUAAGUAACGAUAAUGCGGGUGAAAAACCCGCACGCCGGAAGACCAAGGGUUCCUGUCCAACGUUAAUCGGGGCAGGGUGAGUCGACCCCUAAGGCGAGGCCGAAAGGCGUAGUCGAUGGGAAACAGGUUAAUAUUCCUGUACUUGGUGUUACUGCGAAGGGGGGACGGAGAAGGCUAUGUUAGCCGGGCGACGGUUGUCCCGGUUUAAGCAUGUAGGCGGAGGUUCCAGGUAAAUCCGGUACCUUUUAACGCUGAGGUGUGAUGACGAGGCACUACGGUGCUGAAGUAACAAAUGCCCUGCUUCCAGGAAAAGCCUCUAAGCAUCAGGUAACACGAAAUCGUACCCCAAACCGACACAGGUGGUCAGGUAGAGAAUACCAAGGCGCUUGAGAGAACUCGGGUGAAGGAACUAGGCAAAAUGGUGCCGUAACUUCGGGAGAAGGCACGCUGAUAUGUAGGUGAAGUGAUUUACUCAUGGAGCUGAAAUCAGUCGAAGAUACCAGCUGGCUGCAACUGUUUAUUAAAAACACAGCACUGUGCAAACACGAAAGUGGACGUAUACGGUGUGACGCCUGCCCGGUGCCGGAAGGUUAAUUGAUGGGGUUAUCCGUAAGGAGAAGCUCUUGAUCGAAGCCCCGGUAAACGGCGGCCGUAACUAUAACGGUCCUAAGGUAGCGAAAUUCCUUGUCGGGUAAGUUCCGACCUGCACGAAUGGCGUAAUGAUGGCCAGGCUGUCUCCACCCGAGACUCAGUGAAAUUGAACUCGCUGUGAAGAUGCAGUGUACCCGCGGCAAGACGGAAAGACCCCGUGAACCUUUACUAUAGCUUGACACUGAACACUGGUCCUUGAUGUGUAGGAUAGGUGGGAGGCUUUGAAGUGUGGACGCCAGUCUGCAUGGAGCCAUCCUUGAAAUACCACCCUUUAAUGGCUGGUGUUCUAACGUGGACCCGUUACCCGGGUUGCGGACAGUGUCUGGUGGGUAGUUUGACUGGGGCGGUCUCCUCCUAAAGAGUAACGGAGGAGCACGAAGGUUAGCUAAUCCUGGUCGGACAUCAGGAGGUUAGUGCAAAGGCAUAAGCUAGCUUGACUGCGAGAGUGACGGCUCGAGCAGGUGCGAAAGCAGGUCUUAGUGAUCCGGUGGUUCUGAAUGGAAGGGCCAUCGCUCAACGGAUAAAAGGUACUCCGGGGAUAACAGGCUGAUACCGCCCAAGAGUUCAUAUCGACGGCGGUGUUUGGCACCUCGAUGUCGGCUCAUCACAUCCUGGGGCUGAAGUAGGUCCCAAGGGUAUGGCUGUUCGCCAUUUAAAGUGGUACGCGAGCUGGGUUUAGAACGUCGUGAGACAGUUCGGUCCCUAUCUGCCGUGGGCGCUGGAGAAUUGAGGGGGGCUGCUCCUAGUACGAGAGGACCGGAGUGGACGCAUCACUGGUGUUCGGGUUGUCAUGCCAAUGGCAUUGCCCGGUAGCUAAAUGCGGAAGAGAUAAGUGCUGAAAGCAUCUAAGCACGAAACUUGCCCCGAGAUGAGUUCUCCCUGA
rnacentral:rRNA from 1 species